CCCUUAGAUGUUCUGGGCCGCACGCGCGCUACACUGACGAAUGCAACGAGCUUAUAACCUUGGCCGAAAGGUCUGGGUAAUCUCCAAAUUUCGUCGUGAUGGGGAUAGAUUAUUGCAAUUAUUAAUCUUCAACGAGGAAUGCCUAGUAAGCGCAAGUCAUCAGCUUGCGUUGAUUACGUCCCUGCCCUUUGUACACACCGCCCGUCGCUCCUACCGAUUGAAUGGUCCGGUGAAGCGUUCGGACCGGCAAUGCCUCGUGUUGCGCCGGAAAGUCAAGUAAACCAUAUCACUUAGAGGAAGGAGAAGUCGUAACA
rnacentral:rRNA from 1 species